AGACCCGAAACCCGGUGAUCUAGCCAUGGGCAGGUUGAAGGUUGGGUAACACUAACUGGAGGACCGAACCGACUAAUGUUGAAAAAUUAGCGGAUGACCUGUGGCUGGGGGUGAAAGGCCAAUCAAACCGGGAGAUAGCUGGUUCUCCCCGAAAGCUAUUUAGGUAGCGCCUCGUGAAUUCAUCUCCGGGGGUAGAGCACUGUUUCGGCUAGGGGGCCAUCCCGGCUUACCAACCCGAUGCAAACUGCGAAUACCGGAGAAUGUUAUCACGGGAGACACACGGCGGGUGCUAACGUCCGUCGUGAAGAGGGAAACAACCCAGACCGCCAGCUAAGGUCCCAAAGUCAUGGUUAAGUGGGAAACGAUGUGGGAAGGCCCAGACAGCCAGGAUGUUGGCUUAGAAGCAGCCAUCAUUUAAAGAAAGCGUAAUAGCUCACUGGUCGAGUCGGCCUGCGCGGAAGAUGUAACGGGGCUAAACCAUGCACCGAAGCUGCGGCAGCGACACUCAGGUGUUGUUGGGUAGGGGAGCGUUCUGUAAGCCUGUGAAGGUGUGCUGUGAGGCAUGCUGGAGGUAUCAGAAGUGCGAAUGCUGACAUAAGUAACGAUAAAGCGGGUGAAAAGCCCGCUCGCCGGAAGACCAAGGGUUCCUGUCCAACGUUAAUCGGGGCAGGGUGAGUCGACCCCUAAGGCGAGGCCGAAAGGCGUAGUCGAUGGGAAACGGGUUAAUAUUCCCGUACUUGGUGUUACUGCGAAGGGGGGACGGAGAAGGCUAUGUUGGCCGGGCGACGGUUGUCCCGGUUUAAGCGUGUAGGUGUGUGUUCCAGGUAAAUCCGGUUCACUUUAACACUGAGGCGUGACGACGAGGCACUACGGUGCUGAAGCAACAAAUGCCCUGCUUCCAGGAAAAGCCUCUAAGCAUCAGGUAACAUCAAAUCGUACCCCAAACCGACACAGGUGGUCAGGUAGAGAAUACCAAGGCGCUUGAGAGAACUCGGGUGAAGGAACUAGGCAAAAUGGUGCCGUAACU
rnacentral:rRNA from 1 species